UACAGAGGUCUCAAGCGUUGUUCGGAUUCAUUGGGCGUAAAGGGUGCGUAGGUGGCGCGCUAAGUCAGGUGUGAAAUUUCGGAGCUUAACUCCGAAACUGCAUUUGAUACUGGCGUGCUUGAGGACUGGAGAGGAGACUGGAAUUCACGGUGUAGCGGUGAAAUGCGCAGAUAUCAGGAGGAACACCGAUGGCGAAGGCAGGUCUCUGGGCCACUACUGACGCUGAGAAGCGAAAGCAUGGGGAGCGAACAGG
rnacentral:rRNA from 1 species